GGCCUCCAUGCUUCUAGUCCCUUCCUUGAAGCGAUCGGGUAAAUCACAUGAUGAGCCUCAAGCAAGGGACUUUAAGCUGGUGGCU
rnacentral:pre_miRNA from 1 species